UACGAAGGGGGCUAGCGUUGCUCGGAAUCACUGGGCGUAAAGCGCACGUAGGCGGAUUUGUCAGUCAGGGGUGAAAUCCCGGGGCUCAACCUCGGAACUGCCUUUGAUACAGCAAGUCUUGAGUUCGAGAGAGGUGGGUGGAAUUCCUAGUGUAGAGGUGAAAUUCGAAGAUAUUAGGAAGAACACCGGUGGCGAAGGCGGCCCACUGGCUCGAUACUGACGCUGAGGUGCGAAAGCGUGGGGAGCAAACAGG
rnacentral:rRNA from 1 species